ACAUCGGUGACAGGUGGUUGGCAUGGUUGUCGUCAGCUCGUGUCGUGAGAUGUUGGGUUAAGUCCCGCAACGAGCGCAACCCCUAUUGUUAGUUGCCAUCAUUCAGUUGGGCACUCUGGCGAGACUGCCGGUAAUAAACCGGAGGAAGGUGGGGAUGACGUCAAAUCAUCAUGCCCCUUAUGACCUGGGCUACACACGUGCUACAAUGGUUGGUACAACGAGUUGCGAGUCGGUGACGGCGAGCUAAUCUCUUAAAGCCAAUCUCAGUUCGGAUUGUAGGCUGCAACUCGCCUACAUGAAGUCGGAAUCGCUAGUAAUCGCGGAUCAGCACGCCGCGGUGAAUACGUUCCCGGGCCUU
rnacentral:rRNA from 1 species